UACGAAGGGAGCUAGCGUUGUUCGGAAUCACUGGGCGUAAAGCGCACGUAGGCGGACGUGUCAGUCAGGGGUGAAAUCCCGGAGCUCAACUUCGGAACUGCCUUUGAUACAGCACGUCUUGAGUCCGGAAGAGGUGGGUGGAAUUCCUAGUGUAGAGGUGAAAUUCGUAGAUAUUAGGAAGAACACCGGUGGCGAAGGCGGCCCACUGGUCCGGUACUGACGCUGAGGCGCGAAAGCGUGGGGAGCAAACAGG
rnacentral:rRNA from 1 species